UUAAACAAACAAAUAUACAUUUGGUAAAUGCAUAACAUAAAAUUUAAAUUGAUUAAAAAUUGAUUAAGUAUAUUUUAUUCUUAAUAACUUGCAUAGCUGGCACAUGGCAUUAAAUUUCACGACGGAAUUGGCCUGAGGCCUGCUUGAUUAUUAAUUAAUUAGGCCUAAUACAUUUCACAUAUACAAAUUUAUAUGAUAGUCGGAUAAAUAUUGAAAUAAGAAUAUGAAAUUUACCCCAAAAUGACGCAUUCUCCAGCUUCAUUGUGGAAAGACCGCGAAGUGAAGUGUUCACAGUGUGGUUUCUGUGGAUGGUCUUCAGCAGCAGCAGAAUCCUCUGAGGAACUGGCCUGACUCAUCUGCGUCUGUGACAGUGGACUCCAUUGCUUCAGUAAGAUGGAUGGCGAGUGUGUAAAGGAGCUGACAUCACAACACUUACUGGGAGGCAGCGCAAGCAGCCCCCCGGUGACCUGCGAUUCAAGCCCCAGAUUAUGGUUGUUCAUUGUUUGUUUCUGCUCCUCGUUCAGCUCAGCGACAGACCGCUAUCCUAACGGCACACACAAAUUAAAGCCUCAUAUCAGAUCGUAACUAAAUCUGCGAUUGAGACUUGCGUAGAGAGUCUAGUAAAAUAAAGAUUGAUUUAUUCUUUACCCAUUUGGUUAGUUUUCAUGACUUUUUCGUGAAUGGCUUGUUAUUAAUAAGCUGGAGGUUUGAAAUGUGCUGCGAUCAUCAUCAGCGCUAAAUAUCAGUGGGCAGAAACUUUAAUUCAUAAUUUAGAUAUUUAGUUAGGCGGCUGUUUGUGGUGCACAAUUAUCACAUCUAUGUGAGUAUUAAUGUAUUAUUCAAGCGAUUCAACUCUCAAAAUAAAAAUCCAUUUUUCAAAAUGUA